UACGGAGGAGGCAAGCGUUAUCCGUAAUUAUAGGGCGUAAAGUGUCCGUAGGUGGUUGGCCAAGUCUGCUGUCAAAGGGUGGGGCUUAACCUCAUAAAGGCAGUGGAAACUGGCGAGCUAGAGUGCGGUAGGGGUAGGGGGAAUUCCCAGUGUAGCGGUGAAAUGCGUAGAGAUUGGGAAGAACAUCGGUGGCGAAAGCGACCUGCUGGGCCUGCACUGACACUGAGGGACGAAAGCUAGGGGAGCGAAAGGG
rnacentral:rRNA from 1 species